AGUCACUGACAUUAGAUACCCGUGUAGUCCAGGGUGUAAACGCUGCAGACUUGGUGUUGGGAACCCUUCGGGGGUGCUCAGUGCCGGAGAGAAGUUGUUAAGUCUGCUACUUGGGGAGUACGUCCGCAAGGAUGAAACUUAAAGGAAUUGGCGGGGGAGCACCGCAACGGGAGGAGCGUGCGGUUUAAUUGGAUUCAACACCGUAAACUCACCAGGGAAGACUGUUACAUGAAGGCCGAGAUGAAGACUCUGCUAGAUUUUUCAG
rnacentral:rRNA from 1 species